rnacentral:rRNA from 1 species
CACGAAGUUAGCCGGGGCUUCUUCUGCGGGUACCGUCAUCAUCGUCCCCGCCGAAAGGGCUUUACAACCCGAAGGCCUUCAUCACCCACGCGGCAUUGCUGGAUCAGGGUUGCCCCCAUUGUCCAAUAUUCCCCACUGCUGCCUCCCGUAGGAGUCUGGGCCGUGUCUCAGUCCCAGUGUGGCUGAUCAUCCUCUCAGACCAGCUACCGAUCGAAGCCUUGGUGAGCCGUUACCUCACCAACUAGCUAAUCGGACGCGGGCCCCUCCUAAGGCGAUAAAUCUUUCCCCCUCAGGGGACAUACGGUAUUAGCAGCAGUUUCCCGCUGUUAUUCCGUACCUCAGGGCAGGUUCCCACGCGCUACUCACCCGUGCGCCACUAUGGCCGAAGCCAUCGUUCGACUUGCAUGUGUUAGGCAUGCCGCCAGCGUUCGUUCUGAGCCAGGAUCAAACUCU